rnacentral:RNase_P_RNA from 1 species
GGAGUACGACAGGCAGCCGCUGCCCGUAAGGGGAGAGGAAAGUCCGGGCUCCAUAGGGCGAGGCGCUGGAUAACGCCCAGCAGGCGCGAGCCUGGGAAAGUGCCACAGAGACAUACCGCCGGCGAAGCCGGUAAGGGUGAAAAGGUGAGGUAAGAGCUCACCAGCCGUCAGGUGACUGGCGGGCUAGGUAAACCCCGCUUGGAGCAAGACCGAAUAGGGGGGGAUGAGGCGGCCCGCUGACCCCCGGGUACGGUCGCUUGAGACAAGGCGUAAGUCUUGUCCUAGAUAAAUGGUUGCCAUCUACAGGACCCGGCUUAUGGAGUGCUCCCUCA